rnacentral:lncRNA from 12 species
CUCACCUGCAACUUGUCUCAGGUGAGACCUCAAGUCCAACACCAAGGCCAUUAAUGCUAACAAGGGGCGUCGGGCCAUCUGUGCAAACCUGUGGGGGCGACCACGAAAGACACGGCAACUGUCCGCCUAGCGGCCUUCCGUUUGGGUGCCCUGGGGAUACAGAGAGAUAGACCCAAGAACACACAGGCACAGACAGCUUCGAAGACCUCUUUCCAGCCCCUCUGCUUUGGCAUUCUUUCCUAAAACCUAAGUGUCGGAGCACACGGGUGGCUUCCAGUUUUCCCACAAAGAAAGGCCUUGCCCGUCUCAAAGCUGGCUGUGGGGCAUCUCCCUGCGGAGUAAAAUACUCAGGGCACCAAACGCAGGACUACAGGAAAGAGCCCAGUAAGAAUCCAAGCCAGGGAUACUUCAUACAAGUAACACCACCACGGAGCUCUGCACCUCUCCAGCCUACCUGCCUGUCUAUCUUGGGGCAAUGAUCUUUCAGGCACCCAGAGAACCAGACCUCCCAGCAUGGAGGGCCUGUGGCUGAGCUCAGCUGCCCUUGCUCACAUGAACUCAAGGGCUCCAGGUCCUAGGAGCUGGGGUCCCCAGACAGCUCUGGUAAGUGCCAGCCCCCCAGGCUAGUCUGCCCUGUACUAAAGCGGUCUGAUCGCUGCCCACAGUGGCAACAUUCCUCUCUUGCUUAUUCUAUAAGAAGGAAAGAUCCUCAGGAUGGACAGAAUCGGCACAUGGCAGUGAGAGCUCACAGCCCAGAACACCACCCCACGGGCACAGUGGGAGGAUGGGGAUCCACACUGCCACAGUGAGCACAGGCUCACUGACUUCUUGUAAUUUCCCCUUCACCAUGAAACCUCUUCCUUAGUCUCUAUAUUGUGACAUCUGGCCCCACUCCGGUGCCAGGUAGGUGGUGCCCACCUACAGGCCAGGUGUAUUAGCCAGCUCGAGCUGCCAUAACAGGGCACCACAGGCUGGGUGCCCCACAUGACAGAAGUUCGUUUUCUCACAGUUCUGAACACCAGAAGUCCAAGA